GCCGUAUCGGAAGGUGCGGCUGGAUCACCUCCUU
rnacentral:rRNA from 1 species